CGGAGGGAUCAUUAAAGAGUUCUAUAACUCCCAAACCCAUGUGAACAUACCUAACGUUGCCUCGGCAGGUCGCACCUACCUUGUAGCACCCUACCCUGUAGGGCCUACCCGGGAGAUGCGGGUAAGCCUGCCGGCGGCCCACCAAACUCUGUUUGAUAUUGAAUUCUGAACAUAUAACUAAAUAAGUUAAAACUUUCAACAACGGAUCUCUUGGUUCUGGCAUCGAUGAAGAACGCAGCGAAAUGCGAUAAGUAAUGUGAAUUGCAGAAUUCAGUGAAUCAUCGAAUCUUUGAACGCAUAUUGCGCCCAUUAGUAUUCUAGUGGGCAGGACCGUUCGAGCGUCAUUUCGACCCUUAAGCCUUAGUUGCUUAGUGUUGGGAGCCUACGGCAACGUAGCUCCUCAAAGUUAGUGGCGGAGUUGGUUCACACUCUAGACGUAGUAAUUUUUUAUCUCGCCUAUUAGUUGAACUGAUCCCCUGCCGUGAAACCCCCAACUUAUCAAGGUUGACCUCGAAUCGGUUCAGACAAACUCGCUAAAUUGAAGCAUCUUAGUCAGCGAAGGAAAAGAAACCAACAGGGAUUGCCCUAGUAACGGCGAGUGAAGCGGCAACAGCUCAAAUUUGAAAUCUGGCCC
rnacentral:rRNA from 1 species